GCGUUUCUUUUUGGAAUAAAUAUCUUUUUAAGGACCUUUCGUUCAAAAGUAGCUAGUUUGUUUUCAUCCGUCUUUGUUGUUGCCAUGUACCACAAGCAUUAUAACACUAUGGGUCUCACCAGCCUUGAGUCCACAAACAUUAAAUAUACGUCUUUGUCAAACCCGUGACAUUUUUUGACAAUAUGAAUUUGGUCAAGUGCAAAUUUACCUGGUAUAAAAUCUAUUGGGUAAUCUCCUAUAAUUUCCUUUAUGUACGGCUUCAAUCUAUUGAGUAGGAUAUUCGAUAAUACUUAUGCGGCAUAUUGUGUAGCAAAAUCCCUCUAUAAUUUGUACAA